GUGGCCACAGUGGUGGGCUGGAUGGUGGGGGCAUGUGCUCAUUCUGCUGCCCUCCCUUCUGGGUUCACCACCAGAGUUUUGAGGCUCAUCUUGCCUCAAACAGAGUCCAGCCCUGAGGGUGGGGGAAAGCAUUUAAUAUGGGGGAAUUCAGGUCUAUGGUUUUACUGCUCUGUUCAUUUCCACUUGCCCAUUUUCUUGAGCUCAGCUGCUGCCACUAGGGAGAUAUUUCCAAAGCAAUCUGACUUGGCAAUUCUCCAGCUUAAUGCUGGGUACCCCACAGCUGUUGUGGGAUGGGGGAAGGGAAAAAGAAAGACGGGGACAUAAUUUAUGUUAUCCAUUCUUGGAACAGGACAUUUAAUACUACUCAGCUGAUUAUUAUUGUCUUCUUAAUGGCAUUUUUGUGUUUUUUAAAUAGAGCGGUUUUCCAAUUACAUUUUAUUCUUCUGAUUCUGAGCCUGUUCAAUGCUCCAUUUUCUAGUUAUAACCUGGAGUAAUAAUAAUUACAAACAUAUAAAAUAUUUUAUCAUAGUUUCCCCACGUUGCAGUACAGGUGGCCUUUGCUGACAAGCGUGGGGAGGUUAUUUGUUAGCCUUACUGGGCUUGGCAAAUUUCAGUGUAGAGCAGAGAAAAGGUGGACAAGAAAGCUCCUUUGACACCCAGCCAGCUAGUCUUCGCCAAACUGGUGCCCUCCAGGUAUUGAACUACAGCUCCCAUCAUCCCUAACCAUUGGCUGUGCUAGCUGGGACUGAUGGGAGUUGAAGUCCAAAAACAUCAGCCAGGGGGUGGGGUCAAGAUGGGGAAGGUUGCCCUAGGAUGUUCAGAUAAUAUGCACAUAACCUAGUAUAAUUUCACUUUACAAAACAUUUAACAAAGUUGGGUAGCAAUAGUCCACAGUUUUGCCCAAGGCCCAAAUUUAAAUUAAAUACUGGCCAAGUGUAGUUACAACCUAUCCACUUCUAGAGUAAAAUCAGGACAUGGCCCCAUGCUGUACAUCAGAAACUGAUUCAAAUAAGAGCACUAAUUGUUUGGAUGGCAGCUACCUUCCAUCAUUGGGAUGUGGAAGCUGGUGUGCUCCCUACAGAAUCUCUCUUGCUCAUCAAAUGCUUGACUGUGCAAGCUGCAUACAGAGGUAGUACUGUGCACAACAGUG